rnacentral:lncRNA from 1 species
AUGUUUUUGGAUUCCUCCAGCAGCCAAGGGCACUUCAGUCCCCAGUGCUCCAGCUGGCAGUGCUGGUUAUGCAGCCCAAGCUGGGUAUGGAGUACUCCUGGGGAAGUGGAAUUGCCACCGCUGGAUCUGGACCUUGUUCUGGAGACACUGGAGGAGAUGCUUUCACCAUCUCUGCCUGAAAGGUCUCCCUCUGCUCAGGUCAAUGCUAGUGUUGCCCGUGGCUCUUCAGGAGGGGAGGCUGUGAACAAGGCUGCAGCAGAGGGAGCUUUGCCUGCUUGCAGGAGCUGUGUGAACAUUUGCCAGGAGCCCGAGGAGCUUGAUAUCCAUGUGAUCUACCUGGCCAGAAGGGCUGCCCUGCGUGGGAAGAAGGAUCAGAGGGAGAGCCUGUGA